rnacentral:rRNA from 1 species
UACGAACUGCGCGAACGUUAUUCGGAAUCACUGGGCUUACAGGGUGCGUAGGCGGCUUCUCAGGUCCGAUGUGAAAUCCCCCAGCUCAACUGGGGAACUGCAUUGGAAACCGGGGGGCUCGAGUGAGCUAGAGGUGCACGGAACUUUCGGUGGAGCGGUGAAAUGUGUUGAGAUCGGAAGGAACACCAGAGGCGAAGGCGGUGCACUGGGGCUUGUCUGACGCUGAGGCACGAAAGCCAGGGGAGCGAACGGG